rnacentral:rRNA from 1 species
GAUGAACGCUGGCGGCGUGCCUAAUACAUGCAAGUCGAGCGAACAGAUAAGGAGCUUGCUCCUUUGACGUUAGCGGCGGACGGGUGAGUAACACGUGGGUAACCUACCUAUAAGACUGGAAUAACUCCGGGAAACCGGGGCUAAUGCCGGAUGACAUUUAGAACCGCAUGGUUCUAAAGUGAAAGAUGGUUUUGCUAUCACUUAUAGAUGGACCCGCGCCGUAUUAGCUAGUUGGUAAGGUAACGGCUUACCAAGGCAACGAUACGUAGCCGACCUGAGAGGGUGAUCGGCCACACUGGAACUGAGACACGGUCCAGACUCCUACGGGAGGCAGCAGUAGGGAAUCUUCCGCAAUGGGCGAAAGCCUGACGGAGCAACGCCGCGUGAGUGAUGAAGGUCUUCGGAUCGUAAAACUCUGUUAUUAGGGAAGAACAAAUGUGUAAGUAACUGUGCACGUCUUGACGGUACCUAAUCAGAAAGCCACGGCUAACUACGUG